CGAAGUGAUUCAUUUAAAAGAUUCAAACAGAUCCGUGCAACAGGUGUGUUUCCUAUUCCCCAACAGUUUGGUCGCCAUCAAAGUCAACAUGAAUGUGAGGGAAGUCUUCAGAAUAUACUUUGUCUGCGGUUCUUGCCUCGACCUGGAUUUGGAGAAAAUGACCCACUGUUAGACGGAGUAGGCAGUGCAGAUUCAUGGCCGCUGAAUAAGAAAGCUGACAGCCGAGGCAAAGAACACUCCGAAUGUGGAGUCUGUCUUUUGUGGUGCCGGACUAACUUACAGGUUAAUAUCGACGGCUCUAAUCUCACUUGGCAUUUGCUGUUGUCCUGAGUUUGUGCAGGGAUCAGAAUCCCUCCCUGUGACAGGCCAGAGGGGUAUUAGAGUCCUGACCCCAGAGCAUGUGUCGACGACAGGGUCAGAAAUUGGAUCUGAACUGCUUGAGCGACUCGGGCCCCCACCAAACAUCAAAGCCCAUCUCAUCUGAUCCGGUCAGGCACACAAACUGACCUCCAACAUCACGCUCUCACUGUACCUCUCCGCUCGGGCUAACAGCGACGUGAUGAAAGGCAAGGAUGACCGCCUGCAUCGACUAGCUUGCCCAGACAGUCUCAAUGCACAGUCACUGGUUUCUGUACUGACGAACAAGGAGGAGAGAUGUAAAGCUUUGAAAAUCAUCAAAGCUACAUGAGGGUGUGAAAGAUCCAACUGUGCGAAUGGAGGGAGAGACAUGACUCUCAGGUCAUAGAUGGGAACUGACAAAGACUGGGACAGAUGCUCACGUUUUGUUAUUAAUUAAGGCACCUUAUGAGAAGAGGAAUAUCCACUGCAUUGUUUUCAGAUAAAGUAUUACUAAAAUAUUGAUGUCAAAAUAUGGUAUACUCUAUAUUAUGCCAAGAAUAGUAGUCUUCCCUUUAUAUUGUUCAUUCAGACUGAUUGAUGAACAUGCCCGAACACAAAAGGCGGGAUUUAUUGCAUGAACCAAUCAAAGCCAAACAUAACCAGUUUCAUCCAAUGAUGACAGAAUUGUCAGUUUUUGGAGAUCAUAUUCAGGUUUCUGACCUUGUCACUGGUUCAGGAAAAGCCAUGGCAUAACUAAUAAUAAUCACUGUCCUGGUGAAGGAUAAAAUGUCGGUUUACAAAACAGCUAAACAGUCACUUUGAGUAUAAAUAAAAUGAAUAGAUGACAGAUUGUCCUAUUCUCCUUUUUUACUCAGUUUCAUUUGUUGUAGCCUUUCAUGCCUCCCCUCAUUCUCUUUUUAAAACCCUUUUUAGGUGCACAAAAAAUGACUAAUGCUCCUUUAUGUCAAUGACAGACUUGAAAGCAAGAGUAGGCCUUUCUGGGCGAUCAAAAGCCCGUCUCGCUCCCUCCCUCUCUGUAUAUAAUGAGACUAAGGCUUCAGCCCGUUCCCUUCUUUAUUUGGCGAACCUGAGUAUCCCCAUUAACAUGCCAAAUUGCAAGGAUGAAUCACAGUUUCCGUUCAGUGAUAUUUGAUGUUUCAGGUAAUAAGGGUGGCUUAGCACUUUCAUAUUCAAAGGCUAUCAUACUCGGGUAAUUUGUUUUUUCAAUGGAAAAUCAUUAGUAACAGGAUUAUAACUGCAAAGUGCACCCUGGAGGCUCUUCACUUUCUCAGCAAUAGCAUCGUUCAACACGUCGUAUCAAUGCAUUUAUGUAGAUGUUUCCUAAUGUUCACUCAGUAACGUGAUUUCUGAUUGGAGGAUGCCAAAGACCUCAACCAAUCAUAUGUCCACUUUACGUUUUUGGAUUCU